rnacentral:lncRNA from 1 species
CAGCAUAUGUGAUUCACAAGUUCAUUACAUAGUGCCUAGUCUUACAUUGUCUACUAUCCAGAUGCAAUAUUAAAGAGAUGAUGGACAAAACAUAGGGAUUUAUUAACAGGUCAAUUAGGCAAUAUUAGUCAUCUAUUUUUGUCUUACAAACCACAGUGAAAUACAGAUUAGACAUACAUAAAACCAAUAUAUUGUUAUACUAAUUGAAAUUCACAUCGUACUAGUGUUUCAACGAAAGACACGACUCCAAUCACCUCCUCAAUCUGACCUCUUUCCUUUCUCAUCACAGUUGACAAUUCCUUUUCCCUUGCUAAAAGUCAUGUGCAAUGAUAUGUCGGUGCCUCAUUUCUCGCUAAUUCUAGCUAGCCAUCAAAGAGUCUUGGCAAUUCUUCAUCUUCCUUGUCGCUCCUAAUUGACCGCAUGAUUAAUGAAACUCGGUUUCCUGCCUAAAGCUUCAUCGUUCACCUAAUCAAAGUACCCACAGUCAUUACUACAGGUAAAGGACAAUCGCCCUUUGUUACCGGUAUCCCGUUCGACCUCAAAACGUUUUCGAUAUCCGUGGUCACAACUAGGGAAUCGACGUUUUAAUUGGCAUUGUCCGAAGUAGUGCAUGUUACUUUUGCAACCAUAAUUGACUCCAAAAUUUAUUCCUCUCAAUCUAGCCGAUUGCUGUAAAUGAAACAAACUCAUUAAAAAGAUAGACUUAAAGAUGUAGUUAAAUGAUUGAUUAUACAUACAUAAGAUUGAAAAUAUGAUAAAAUAAAAGUUCAUCUUCCAUCGUACAUGCGUGAAAUUCCCUUGCAAAUGCUAGGAGGCUUUUUUUUUUUUUUUUUUUUUUACCCACAAACUCAAGGCUUCAUUUCCUUUGCCAAGUGAGAACAUGUUUAUAAACAUAGCAUACAUGAAUUUACUAGCUUACUAUGUGUGCAAAAGUAACUAUUUUACUUUUUUUUUUUCCUACUAUACAACCUUGUAUUCAAUCUCAAAACUGGUGCAGGAC